rnacentral:rRNA from 1 species
UACGUAGGGGGCGAGCGUUGUCCGGAAUCAUUGGGCGUAAAGCGCGUGUAGGCGGCCCGGUAAGUCCGCUGUGAAAGUCCAGGGCUCAACCCUGGGAUGCCGGUGGAUACUGUCGGGCUCGAGUCCGGAAGAGGCGAGUGGAAUUCCUGGUGUAGCGGUGAAAUGCGCAGAUAUCAGGAGGAACACCGAUGGCGAAAGCAGCUCUCUGGGACGGUACUGACGCUGAGGCGCGAAAGCGUGGGGAGCGAACAGG